rnacentral:rRNA from 1 species
GCGUGCUUAAUACAUGCAAGUCGAACGGAGAGUUUAGCAAUAGAUUCUCAGUGGCGAACGGGUGAGUAACGCGUUGGUGACCUGCCCCAAAGUGUGGGAUAACAGUCCGAAAGGAUUGCUAAUACCGCAUGUGGUUUUCGGAAUUAGAAACCGAUUUCUAAAAGGAGAAAUCCGCUUCGGGAGGGGCCUGCGUCCCAUCAGCUAGUUGGUAGGGUAACGGCCUACCAAGGCGACGACGGGUAGGGGGCCUGAGAGGGUGACCCCCCACAAUGGCACUGAAAUACGGGCCAUACACCUACGGGUGGCAGCAGUAGGGAAUAUUGCACAAUGGGCGAAAGCCUGAUGCAGCAACGCCGCGUGCGCGAUGAAGGCCUUCGGGUCGUAAAGCGCUUUUCGGGGAGAUGAGGAAGGACAGUAUCCCCGGAAUAAGUCUCGGCUAACUACGUGCCAGCAGCCGCGGUAAAACGUAGGAGGCAAGCGUUAUCCGAAUUUACUGGGCGUAAAGCGCGUGCAGGCGGUUCGGUAAGUUGGAUGUGAAAUCUCCUGGCUCAACUGGGAGAGGUCGUUCAAUACUGUCGGACUAGAGGAUGGCAGAGGGAGGUGGAAUUCCCGGUGUAGUGGUGAAAUGCGUAGAUAUCGGGAGGAACACCAGUGGCGAAGGCGGCCUCCUGGACCAUUCCUGACGCUCAGACGCGAAAGCUAGGGGAGCGAACGGGAUUAGAAACCCCGGUAGUCCUAGCCGUAAACGAUGUGGACUUGGCGUCGGUGGGGUAAAACCUGUCGGUGCCGGAGCUAACGCGUUAAGUCCACCGCCUGGGGACUACGGCCGCAAGGUUAAAACUCAAAGGAAUUGACGGGUCCCCGCACAAGCAGCGGAGCGUGUGGUUUAAUUCGUUGCUACGCGAAGAACCUUACCCAGGUUUGACAUACAGGUAGUAGGGAUCUGAAAGGUGACCGACCCUUCGGGGAGCCUGUACAGGUGCUGCAUGGCUGUCGUCAGCUCGUGUCGUGAGAUGUCCGGUUAAGUCCGGCAACGAGCGCAACCCUUGCCGUAUGUUAUAUGUGUCAUACGGGACUGCCGAUAUAAAGUCGGAGGAAGGUGAGGAUGACGUCAAGUCAGCAUGGCCUUUAUAUCUGGGGCUACACACACGCUACAAUGGCCGGUACAAUAGGUUGCAAAGCCGCG